UACUGCUCAGUAACACGUGGACAACCUACCCUCAGCACGGGGAUAAACCCGGGAAACUGGGUAUAAUACCCGAUAGUUCUGGGAUGCUGGAAUGCGUCCAGGACGAAAGCUCCGGCGACUGAGGAUGGGUCUGCGGCCUAUCAGGUAGUAGUGGGUGUAAUGUACCUACUAGCCUACGACGGGUACGGGUUGUGAGAGCAAGAGCCCGGAGAUGGAUUCUGAGACACGAAUCCAGGCCCUACGGGGUGCAGCAGGCGCGAAAACUUUACAAUGCUGGCAACAGCGAUAAGGGGACCUCGAGUGCCAGGAUACAAUCUUGGCUGUCGUGAUGCCUAAAAAAGCAUUGCAUAGCAAGGGCCGGGCAAGACCGGUGCCAGCCGCCGCGGUAACACCGGCGGCUCGAGUGGUAACCGCUAUUAUUGGGUCUAAAGGGUCUGUAGCCGGCCGGAUAAGUCUUUUGGGAAAUCCAGCUGCUCAACAGUUGGGCUUUCAGAAGAUACUGUUCGGCUCGAGGCCGGGAGAGGUGAGAGGUACUUCAGGGGUAGGGGUGAAAUCUUGUAAUCCUUGAAGGACCACCAGUGGCGAAGGCGUCUCACCAGAACGGACCUGACGGCAAGGGACGAAAGCUAGGGGCACGAACCGGAUUAGAUACCCGGGUAGUCCUAGCCGUAAAACGAUACUCGCUAGGUGUCAGCCACGGUGCGACCGUGGUUGGUGCCGUAGGGAAGCCGUGAAGCGAGCCACCUGGGAAGUACGGCCGCAAGGCUGAAACUUAAAGGAAUUGGCGGGGGAGCACUACAACGGGUGGAGCCUGCGGUUUAAUUGGAUUCAACGCCGGGAAGCUUACCGGGAUCGACAGCGAUAUGAAGGCCAGGCUGAAGACCUUGCCGGAUUAGCUGAGAGGUGGUGCAUGGCCGUCGUCAGUUCGUACUGUGAAGCAUCCUGUUAAGUCAGGCAACGAGCGAGA
rnacentral:rRNA from 1 species